rnacentral:rRNA from 1 species
AAGGGGACACCGAGUGCCAGCGUCAUACGCUGGCUGUCCGGGUGUGCAAAAUACACCUGUUAGCAAUGGCCGGGCAAGACCGGUGCCAGCCGCCGCGGUAACACCGGCGGCCCGAGUGGUGAUCGUGAUUAUUGGGUCUAAAGGGUCCGUAGCCGGUUUGGUCAGUCCUCCGGGUAAGCUGACAGCUCAACUGUUAGGCUUUCGGGGGAUACUGACAGACUUGGAACCGGGAGCAGUAAGAGAUACCACCGGGGUAGGAGUGAAGUCUUGUAAUCCCUGUGGGACCACCUGUGGCGAAGGCGUGUUACCAGAACGGGUUCGACGGUGUGGGACGAAAGCUGGGGGCACGAACCGG